CCUUGCGUUAGGUUUAUUGGCCAAAAUACCAUUGCCAAUAGCGUGUAAUAAGUGGGUUUUACCCAAACCGGUACCACCAUA
rnacentral:antisense_RNA from 1 species